GAUGAACGAUGGCGGCGUGCCUAAUACAUGCAAGUCGAGCGAACGGACGAGAAGCUUGCUUCUCUGAUGUUAGCGGCGGACGGGUGAGUAACACGUGGAUAACCUACCUAUAAGACUGGGAUAACUUCGGGAAACCGGAGCUAAUACCGGAUAAUAUUUUGAACCGCAUGGUUCAAAAGUGAAAGACGGUCUUGCUGUCACUUAUAGAUGGAUCCGCGCUGCAUUAGCUAGUUGGUAAGGUAACGGCUUACCAAGGCAACGAUGCAUAGCCGACCUGAGAGGGUGAUCGGCCACACUGGAACUGAGACACGGUCCAGACUCCUACGGGAGGCAGCAGUAGGGAAUCUUCCGCAAUGGGCGAAAGCCUGACGGAGCAACGCCGCGUGAGUGAUGAAGGUCUUCGGAUCGUAAAACUCUGUUAUUAGGGAAGAACAUAUGUAUAAGUAACUGUGCACAUCUUGACGGUACCUAAUCAGAAAGCCACGGCUAACUACGUG
rnacentral:rRNA from 1 species